rnacentral:lncRNA from 1 species
AUGGAAUUACAUUUUAAGGAGAUUUGGAGGAAUCAGUUACAGCUGGUUGAAGAAAACCUUUCUGGAAGGAAAAGAAAAAAGAAUAAUGGGAGAAUUUCUCACUCAGGACUCCAUGUGAAAAUGCUGAUGAAUAGGGGAAAAGGCUUCAACAAUAUCAAUCUGACAUUUCCCAAUCCACUCAUCAUUAGAACCGGCUCAAUCUUAUAUAUUUGAAAGAGCAACUUUUUACUAAAUCAGGGGUUUUGCCUGUUUGUUCUAACUGUUCUCUAUCCUUGAACACCUCUUAGGGUAAGAAAACCUCAUGAACUCAAUCAGCUACUGAGAGAGCUCACUUCCUCCUUCCUUUACUGCCUCCUGCCUUUUUGCUAUGUGUGAAUCUGGGUAAAUGGUCAUAGAGAUUGGGAAAGGGUAUGAUUCAAAGGCAGCUGAAUGGGUUCCUCACAUAAUGCAUGCAAGUUCCACUGUUGUUCCUAGAGUCUCCCUUCCUUUGUGUACUAAUUAAAAAGAUCCCCUUUCUUUAAAUCUGCAUUCAAAUCUCAUUGUGAAUGAGCCCCAGAAAGGUUAUCCUAGACACUGGAACUCAACUCUUGUAUGAAGCAAUCAUGUUCAGCUUUGAUGUCUCAGCAAACAGCUGUUCUUUAAGCUCAGUUAUUUUAAAAAUUUUUUUCAGCAAGUGGUUCAGUUGAUAUGUUGGUCAGGACUUGAGACUUUUCUUGGAGAAAUGGCAUUAAAAUUCCUCUGGGAGUGAUGUGUGUGAGCAUCCUUCCCCCAGGAUCUCAUAGAGUCACAACAUAAGGCUGAGCUUCCUUUGGUCUUGCUGAGUUCCAUAUUUGGGGCAGAAGAAUUGGGCUAAAGUUCAAACACUUGGCACACAGUAAAUCAGAGGAGGAUUUGUUAUGUGGCCACCACCACUAUCCAUUUCCAGAGCUUUUUCAUCUUUCCAGAGAAGGCCCCAGGAGACCACCUAUGGUAGCAUAAGGAGAGCUUGCUAAAACAAAAUUGAAUGGAAGGUCAGUUAGUGUUAUUAUUGUGGGGUGUGAGAUAUAAACCAUCUUCUCCAUCUUGGCCAUUAAAUCUUCUGUAAAUUCAAAAUCCGAAAGCUGCUCAGGGUAACUGGACUGCCUGGACUGCACCCCUCCUUUUUUUUAACUCGAACACGCACAUUUACAGCAUCAUUAUUGACAAUAGCUAAAAGGUGGGAAUAGCCUGAGUACGCACUGACUGAUAAAAGGAUAAGCAAAUGUGACAUAUACACACAGGACAGUAUUAUUUAGCCUUAAAAAUGAAUUCUGAGUUUGCUACAUGAAUGAGUCUUGAGGAUAUUAUACUAAGUGAAAAAGACAGAAACUAUAUGAUUCCACUCACCUAGACUAGUGUAAAAAUACCUCGAGUACUUACAUGCAUGGAGACAGGAAAUAGAAUGGUGAUUUCCAGAGUCUGAGGGGGAAGAGGGAAAUGGAGAGCUACUGUUUAAUGAGUACAGAAUUUCUAUUUGGAAAGAUGAAAAAGUUCUGGAAAUGGAUGGAUGGUGGUGAUAGCCACACAAUAAUUGUAAAUGUACUUAAUGCCACUGAGCUAUAUUUGAAAUGAACUAUAUUUGAAAAAUGGUUAAGGUAGUAGAUUUUACCAAACGGUCCACCAUACACACAUGCUAGUUGAUCCAAACUGAGAAAGAUCCAGCCUGCCUAGCUGAAGAGACAGCUGUCUUUACAUAAAGCAGCAGACUAAUUCACCUGCUGCAAAUUAUUUUCCUAUAAUAGUAAGUAGAUCAGAAACCAACUAGGUCAGUUUAAACCCAGACAUUGGGGAAAAUCCAUAAUAUUUAAGGUCAUUUUGUUGAAUCAAUAUACUGUACACUUGAAGCUAAUAUGACACUGUAUGUUAACUAUACUGGGAUUAAAAUAAAAAAUAAA